ensembl:lncRNA
GCUAUAUCUUCCAACUCUACAGGACGAAAUAAAAAAAAAAAAACCAACAACAAAAAAAAACCCACACAUCACACACCAGAGUAAGAUAUAAUGUAAAACUUUAUCAUAAUCGUAGAUGUGGAAAGCCCUGAGAACCACAGAUUUAAUAUCAAUAUUACUGAUGUGAACAAACCUGAAUAUUUAUUCAAAUAAAAUAAAAUAAAAAAAUCUAAUUUUUUUUUUUUUUUUUUUUGGGGGGGGGGACGACGACGACAAAGUGCUCCACUUUCGAAUACAAUCAGCACACAUCAGUUUUACAAGCGUUCACAUGAGUCUUGUCGUAAAUCUCGUUGUGAUUGGAAAAGGAAAAAAGAAAACCUAUCAUCAGUAAGAUCAUCAUUAGAAUUAGAUCAAUAACAGCAUUAUAAUAUCAUAACAACAGCAGUACAAAAAUAUGCACGAGGACCAUUGUUCAGUUUUCUGAAGCGACCGUUGUACAACUUUAAGCAAAAAAAAAAAACAAAAAACGAAACUCGAAGACAAAUGAGGUAUUCCAUAAACCAGUUGCACAUGCAUGUAUAAUACACAGACAGAUGUGGAGUCGAGGUGAAAUGGUGACACAGCUGCUGAUGUAGAUUCUGCUUUCAACACGCCAUCGCCGACUCCGUGACGAUGUCGAGGUGUGUGUGGUGUGUAGUGUGUAGUGAGCAAUAAGAUUUCUCAACAGGAACACACUCAACCCUUGGCCAGCAACAACACUGUCGAUUGAGUCAUCGUGAAUCUUGAUGAUUCGCAGUUGUGAUUUAUUUAUAGUGAUUCAAACGGAAAUCGGCGGCGUCUCGAAUCCGGCGACGCACCAAUCCGGUACGGAGCACGAGUACGAGUAUCGUAUGCUGUGAAAUUUCAGGUCACUGCAUACAGACACUCUGAGAUCUUUUGUACACUCUUCUGGCCACAAGCUUCAGAAUCUUUGACGGUGCAAUCUGAUUGGCUCUCUGCGAGCUCAUGUGCCGAAACGUCCGUUGGUGCAUCCCGAUACGUUUGAGACCGCGACGCCUUCUGGGUAAAGAUCCGUUCCUGUUAUAUAUCGUGUACACUUUUCCUUGGCGGCGAAAAGCUUCACGAUGUUUAAAAGCUGCAACCUGAUUGGCUCUCUGCACCGACACGAGCUGAUUCUCACGCGAGAAAACUUUCGGACGAGUGUUUCCGAUCACGAUAAAGGCACUGGACGCAAAAUAACAAAACAAAACAAAAAACAAUCAUGUUUCGUGAAGAAGUUAACGUCAUGUGUUUGCGGACUGUAAAAAAAAAAUUCGGUUCUUGGUCACGUUUAUUGACGAAACGUAUCGGAUUGUUUCCAAAGCCAAACGUCUUGAGACGUGAACCACGUGACGACCAUCUCGUGAAGCACACGCUCACGCCUCGGACAUUUCCCGUAGCUAACGUAGACGCUCGCAGAGAUUUGGCUCGGGAUCUGUGAGGACGUCGGUAUCAAAGAGUCAAACUGCGGUUCCUAUACUUUUGAGACUGCAGUGCAUUCUGGGUAAAGGAUUCAUUGAACUAAAGUACUCUUAGGGACAUUGUUUUUUAUAUGAUUAUAAUGUGGAAGUAGACGAGGGCGUGUCAAAAACAGUCGAGCAGCUUCUCUCUCUCUCUCUCACACACACACACACACACACACACACACGCACACACUUCCUUAAUGUAAACUGAAUACAUCUUGUACUUGAGCACCAUCUAAAGGCUGGUGAUCAGCAGAACACCUGGCGGUGAUGGAUUGUGGAUGAUAAAGUGACUAAUGUUUUAACUAUUAUAACCUGUUCAUCUAAUGUGCAAAUGAUCUCUCUCACACUUCUCUCUCACACACACACACACACACGCGCGCGCGCACGUGCACAUUCAAAACCAGGAGGUCUUUAAAAUCUACUCAAACAUGUAUAACCUGUUAGACCAGUUCACAUAAAUGUAAAAUAUAUAAAUAUGCCCGACACGGUGCGAGGCGCCGAUUGUGUUUUGUGCAGCUGGACUCGACAAACGGUUCUCUUCAAAAGCUUGAAGAAAAGAGCCUCGACAUUCUGCUCUGGAGAAAUCCUGAAACCCGUCCUGGUCUCUCCAGCGAUUAAGGCAACUACAGCGUCCUCUAACAGCAGCAGUUCAUUCGAGCGCCGAACUUUUCCCUGACUGUAUAAAGAAAAAGAAGAAGAAGAAGAAGAAAAAAGACUCACUGGACCCCAUGAGACGAGCGUCACGGCUGUAAACUGCUCUGUGUGUGUGUGAGGGGGGGGGGCAAAAUAUUAGAUUCACAAAUCUGACGCUUUAGAUCAGCAGCAUGGAGAAGCACAGAUCAUUCACAAGCAGCAGGUGAGCAUUUAAAGGAAGGUGAAGUUUUCAGGAAGGAUGGUCUGAGGUGUUUGGCAAAAUGUACUUCCUGAGUUUCGCCAGACGGAGCGAGUGAGAGACAACACUACGUGGUGUACAUCUUUCGGCACCUUCAGUGUUUUCAUGUUUAAAAAACAAAACAAACAAACAAACAAACAAAAAAAAAAACCCCCACACCCCUCAUAAAAGCGAUACGUGUCAGACCUCGACUUAAACGAUCUCCUAAACUAUUUAAUCCAAGAAUUAUUAACCGACAGAUCAGCUCCGAACAUCCCCUUUCCUCUCUCGACAAGAUCCUGGUGCUGGUUCUAGACUCGGUGCCGUCGAACUGUUCUGACCAAAGCUUCAAAGGCGAGUAGCAGAGAUCAUGCACGCGUCAGGAGGCUCGUGCGGUUCUCUCGGUAAUCUCUCGACGAAGCUAGUACGAACCCGUGAUCGUACAGCGGGUUGUCGGACGUGCGUGUCGCUUACUGUCGCUUCGCAAAGUAGCGGUUGCUACACGCCCGCGAGAGGCGAGGCGACUUCUUUCUUACGCGACGCGCCUUCACAAGUCGAAUCCUGCUCUCCGAGGAACAGCUUUACGUCAGAACUCGAGCGGGAAGAAGACGCCGGACGUUUAAGUUUUGUUCGCGCAGCCGGCGCGAACAAAACUACGCUAGAGCGCCGUCCUGCGUUCUUCCCAACUAAAACGUGGUUUUCCUUCUUUUAAGGAAGUCGGGAGUCUAACUACAGUUCGGGUUUCGAACCGGUCUAAAGAGCUCGUAAAAAGCAGCACCGGCACCGUGUCGAUAGACGAGGGGCUUCGUUAUUAAUCUCUCCUCUACGGAUAUUGUACGAAGUGGCAUCCAUAGAGUUCAGUUCUGGAGAAAACUUCACUGCGCGCCAAAGCCUCCGAGGCAACGGGUGCGCUGUACUGUACCUCGGGGUUACAGUCAGACAGACGGCAAGAAAGAAAGAAAGCGAGCGAGCUGCUCUUUGUAGUUCCUGAGAAAGCUGCCUUCCCACGACGAGAGGCAAAAGACCGAUGCGAUAUUCGACAGCG